UUACAACUUUGCCAGUUAGGAUACUUACCAGAUCGACAUGAGGACCAUAGCAUCCUAAAUCUAUAACUAAACCACUUGUUUAUCUAGCUUAGCCUUCUCCGCCAAGAUGGUGUCCUAUGUACAUCAGCCCCCAGUAAAUUAACCUACACAGCAAACUUUUUCUUCAACUUUAUUUUAAUUUAUGACUACCCACCCCCAGAACUUUGGAGGAAGUGUGCAAAUAGAAAAACAUAGAAAAUUGAAAACAAGUUAUUGAAUGACUGGCAAAGACAAGUAACAAAUUUUACAUGGCCUAAUAAAAGAUUGAGGAUUAAAUGUAAGAAACCGCAGAUCUCAGAAGACCAAGGCAAUCUGGCAGCCCUGAACUUCAAACUGUAUUAACCAGGAUAGCUGUUUAAUUUGGAUUACAUAUUGGAUUUUAUCACUCUGUGGUUGUGUUACCUUGUUUGAGGGAACAGGACUCCCAGGUGGACAAAUUAUCUUUAGAUUGAUACAAAAAGAAAUGAACAGUUAUAAGAUAAUUUGUAUUAUGUACAACAAUAAACAAUGUAUUAAAGUUGGGAAUAAAUUUAAGAAGCUUUCCAAA